rnacentral:rRNA from 1 species
GGGGAAUUUUCCGCAAUGGGCGAAAGCCUGACGGAGCAAUACCGCGUGAGGGAGGAAGGCUCUUGGGUUGUAAACCUCUUUUCUCAGGGAAGAAUGAUGACGGUACCUGAGGAAUAAGCAUCGGCUAACUCCGUGCCAGCAGCCGCGGUAAUACGGAGGAUGCAAGCGUUAUCCGGAAUGAUUGGGCGUAAAGCGUCCGCAGGUGGCAAUGUAAGUCUGCUGUCAAAGCGUCUGGCUCAACCAGAUAAAGGCAGUGGAAACUACAUAGCUAGAGUAAGGUAGGGGUAGAGGGAAUUCCUGGUGUAGCGGUGAAAUGCGUAGAGAUCAGGAAGAACACCGGUGGCGAAAGCGCUCUGCUGGACCUUAACUGACACUGAGGGACGAAAGCUAGGGGAGCGAAUGGGAUUAGAUACCCCAG